GACCACCGUGGCCCAUAGGUUUUAUCCCAGAUCCACCAAGCUGGGACUCGGUUCCCCCAUGAGCAAAUGAGUAAUAACAAAAAGGGGGGAGGGUGGUGAUGCAGCUACUGUAAGACCCAAUUGGGUCAGGAGUGCGUCAAAGCCCUUGACCAACGGAUUCCAUAACAGUGAGAAUUCUUGCUGGUUUAAAACUGCACAAUAAGAUUUAAGAGUUGAAUAUUACGGUGUUGGGUGGUUAGGGAAAGAGCAGAUCGUGGCUCUGUGAGGAUGGGGAGGGGGCGCAGGAGGACGACCUUAGCAGGGUGGUCUCCCCUGUCUCAUCAUGGCCACGCUCCUCUUUGGAACUGCAACUUCUACCCGAUAGAAACCUCACUUAUUUUAGACACGAGACAGAGGCAGUAGGAGGCAGCCGGGUGUCUUGAUUGGAUGCUGUAUUCCAGCUGUGAUCUUGGACUCAGGCUGUCCCAGAUGCCAACAGGAAACCCAACUACCACUGCAGAGCCCACCCACAUUGUCCCCUGUUGUUGGCUUGACUCAUGACACCUAUGUCCUGACACCCUAUUCCUUACUUCUCCUUUCUGGGAGGUCCUAGCAGCCCACUGUGCUGGCCCACUGUGUAGAACACUACCCAUGGGUCCAGUACUCCCUGUGGAAUCAGAUCUGCCAGCUACAUCCUACAUCCUGCUGUAAGCCUCCCGCUGACUCCCGUGUCUCUGUGUCUCCAUGGACAGGUCAUUUCAGAGCAAUGAGUUGGGGUGCCCUCCCCAUGUCAAAGGAAGCCACCCAUGAGCCCUGAAGACACGCUCUGACUUCAUCCACAGACCAUGACACCACGCACGAGUGUCUCUCGCUGUGCUAAUCUCACUGCCUUACGGAAUGGUGCCAAGAUCCCUCUCACCCCAGGGCCUUUGCACCUGCUUCCUCUGGCCCAGACACUUGUCUUCUACCCAGGAUUCAUGCUACAUUUACCAUCUUCUCUGCUCCAAUCUCUCCUCUCCAUGCUGCAGAAGAGCUGCCCUGAAGUGCCUACGAGGAUAGCACAUCACAGAUGAUUGGUGGAAGAGGGUUCCGCCCACUGUGGGCGGUACUACACUUGGAUUGGUGGACAGGGGCGCUGUUUGCAAAGAAGCUGAGCCAGUCAGUAAGCAGCAUGCCUCCGUGGCCCCUGCUUGAGUUCCUGCCUCCAGGUUCCAGCUUUGAGUCCCUGUCCUGACUUCCCUUAGGGAUGGACGACAAUCUGUAAACUGAACACACUCUUUC